AUGUGCUGCCGGCCCGGGCUCCAUGAGCGUGGCGGGCACUUUGCAGUCUCGGGUGUUCCUGCCCGGUCUUCUGUUCCUAAACUGCAGCAAAGGGAAAAGGAACUGAAAAAGGCAGGCUCGUCGUUGCAAUAUCACCAAAAGAGAAAAUUAACGGCAUGCCAUCAGGACCACAGCAGUUGGAGAAACAACUCUUUAUCCCGGCUUGCAGCCACGAGGUCUUGAUUGGGGGAGGGGUGGUGAAGAAUAGUCUGUGGGCUGCUUUUUUUUUUUCCUUUUACUGGAGCUGUACAGUGGAGUCGGUGAUUGCUGCUGAUCAUAAUCAAGUAUUUUAGGAGCUUAUUUAGACAUGUAUCUGAUAGCUAAGGAUUUUUCAACUUUAUUCUCUUACGUAUUUUUCAACUGUAAAUUAUUGGGCUUUUAAAUCCUGCUAGUAUUGCUCGACUCUUACUCUCACAAAUGGAUGGAAUUAAUUGCUGUUAGGAGGUUGGAAAAUAGCAAAUAUAGAUUUGGACGGUGGUAGUAAUUUUGAGCAAAUAAUGUUUUAUCUUUUUUUUCCUUAUUUUUCCCUAUUCCAGUCAUACACGUGGACCUAACUGCACCAGUAGCUUUUCUGAGAAUACUUGCUGAAAAGGAAGUUUUCUGGAAUGGGUAAGUGUAUUCUGAUUUUCUUGAACUUUUCUUAAAAACAAAUUUUUCUUGCUAUUAAAGUUGAAUAAAUAGGAUUGGUUUCUUAGAGAGUAAAAGUAGGUGUUUCUUUCUUUAGACAAUGUACCUUUUCUGAAAAACUAACUCAUUAAGUACGGAUUUGCUAAUUUUAAGGUAGUAAAAUUACAGUGUAAAUAUUCCUGUACAUUUUUGGAAACUGGCUUAUGCAGUUUACGAAAUAUAAUUUUAGACCCUCUUUUAAGUUGGGUGAUAAAGUAGAUAUAACCUGAGAUGAUAGAUUUAAACAGGAUAUUUACGUUCUGCUACAAUUGACUGAUAACACUUGAAGUGUAGUCUGAACAGUAAUUUUGUUAAUCAUUUCAACAAGUAUUUGCUAAGUGGAAGCCAGAAGAGGAGGAAAAUGUUUUGCCACGUGGAUGUGAAGAUUUCCUCUAAAAGAAAUUUAAGGAACUUAGCCUUGGAUUCCUGAAUAGAAAGGUAAGAAUUCUAUCAUUCUGGAGUUGAUGAAAACAUAAAUUUUCAGGAUGUGAAAUGAACAGUGAUUUAUAAAAUGGAAAUCAAAUUGUACAUUAGCAGAGUUCUUAAGCUUUUUGAAUUGAAGGAGACCUAAUAAUUGUGUCUUUUUGGUUAUUUAGUGACAAACGUGGCUUUCAAACUAUGCUUAAAAAGUUCCGGCUGGACACGGUGGCUCACACCUAUAAUCCUAGCACUUGGGGAGGCUGAGGCAGACGGAUUACCUGAGGUCAGGAGUUCGAGACCAACCUGGCCGACAUGGUGAAACGCUGUCUCUACUAAAAAUAUAAAAAAUUAGCCGGGUGCAGUGGCGUGCACCUGUAAUCCCAGCUACUCUGGAGGCUGAGGCAGGAGAAUCACCUGAACCUGGGAGGUGGAGGUUUCAGUGAGCUGAGAUCCUGCCACUGCACUCCAGCCUGGGCGCAAGACCAAGACUUAAACGCAAAAAAAAAAAAAAAAAAAAAAAAAAAGUUUCAUAAUACAGCAUGGUCUGGUAGUUUGCAAAAUGGUGUGCUUUUGGGGAGAUACACUAGCAAUUUUUUUAAAAACUGGAACAGUGUGAUAGGAAGCCUGCUGGAUGAUUUCUUAAAUAUUCUAAAAUGUAAGUCAAAUAUGUUUUAAUAACAAAGACUUAAAUGGCUUUUCUCCCUAGAGACUGAAACUAGUAUUCAUUGUGUUCAGAACUUAAUUGGGCUUGAACUGAGAUUUAAAUCUAAUAAACAAGUUAAUAAAUGUGUAUGUUUUGUUGUGGGUUUGGUAGUGAUCUGUGGUUCUAUAGGGUUUAAUAGGAAUUGCUUUUGAUUUGUUUCUGGCUUUAGAAUGUGAGGCAAAUUUUACAUUCUUGGUUCUAUUAAGAUUUUCUUAGGCAUGCUAACAUGCCAACAAAAAGCCAUGUAAGUAUUGUAUAAAAAGAUUCACAUUGUUAAUUUAGCCAUUUUGAAAUUCAGAUGAGUGAGCAAGUUGAUAAUGGCCUCAUCUCUGACCUGAGAAAAAACAACUUUGACCCUUGUUCUUAAAAUGCUUUAACCUUGAAGUUGCUUGAGACUUAAGAGGUCAUGUUGCUUUAGGUUUAAUAAAUAGCCUUAACUAUUUGGAGGGGAAAAAAUGGGUCAACUUUUUUUUUUUUUUUUGGCGUUUGCAUGUACAACUUUCUAUUUUUAGCCUAUAUUUGGAAAGAAAGCACUUAACAUUUUAGGAAUUCUUUUUAAAGCUGCUUGCAAAGUGUUGGUGAUUUUACUGAAAACUUUUGAGAUCUUCAUUUUACAGGCAGACCUGUCUAACUACAAGCCAGACUUGGGUUUUCUCCUGUAGUUUGAAGACACACUGACUCCUGACAAAAUGCAGCCUGCAACUUCCUGGAGAACAACUCAGUGUCACAUUAAAGUUUAUUAUGUAUUUAAUGAUACACUGUUUAAUUGACAGUUUUGCAUAGUUUGUCUAACUUUAGAGAAUUAAGAGCCUCUCAACUGAGCAGUAAAGGUAAGGAGAGCUCAAUCUGCACAGAGCCAGUUUUUAGUGUUUGAUGGAAAUAAGAUCAUCAUGCCCACUUGAGACUUCAGAUUAUUCUUUAGCUUAGUGGUUGUAUGAGUUACAUCUUAUUAAAGUCGAAAUUAAUGUAGUUUUCUGCCUUGAUAACAUUUCAUAUGUGGUAUUAGUUUUAAAGGGUCAUUAGGAAAAUGCACAUAUUCCAUGAAUUUUAAGACCCAUAGAAAAGUUGAAGAAUGCUUAAUUUUCUUAUCCAGUAAUGUAAACACAGAGACAGAACAUUGAGAUGUGCCUAGUUCUGUAUUUACAGUUUGGUCUGGCUGUUUGAGUUCUAGCGCAUUUAAUGUUAAUAAAUAAAAUACUGCAUUUUAAAGCUGUUAAGAAAUUGUCCAGAACGAGAAUAUUGAAAUAAAAACUUCAAGGUUAUUAUCGCAGUUUUUAUGGCGUUUUUGUUUUGUCACUACAGAUGGUCUAAAGGUUACUUAUUAAUUAAUUGGGGAAGUGGAGACAAGGACCAAAGUUUAUCUGGAUUUUCUUAUUUAAUCUUCAUUACCUGUGAAAUAUGUAUUUGUAUUCUUACUUUACAUAUGAGAUCAGAAGUUCAUUUUCAAGCAGAAUGGAAAGGUGGUAAAUGGACUCUGAAUUAAAAUAUGUCAGUAUUUUAAAAGGUUAUCUUCUGCCUAGUAUUUUUAUGGAAUCUGACAAGUUCUCAGAUCACACUUGUUUCCUUAAAUCUUGGUAAGUCUGAAGCAUUCUUCAUUUUGUUUAUAUUAUACACGUUAGUAAGGUGGGAGUUCUUUUGUUUUUUGUGUUUUUUGGCCAGUUGAUAACAUGAAAGUUUAAGAGAGGAGGCCAAAGUAUAUAAAAAGUCUUAAACUCCUGCUUCUAAUAAAUGUCCAAUAUGUGUUGGCUCCUGGGUUGAGUGUUUAUUAAUGGGUCUGUACUAACUCUAAAACAUUAAAUAAGAAUGGUAUGUUCUGACCAGCCCUCAAAGUUCAGCCAUUUCUAAAAGUUCAAAAAAUCAUUGUAAAUAUUUUUUAAAUGAGGUACGAGAUUGUACCUGUCUAUGGCCAGUAACACAAGAAAUCUAGGCUCAUGCAGAGUUUUAGCAUAGUUGACCCUCAGUAUCAGUGGAGGGAUUGGUAGGACCCUCAGUGCA
rnacentral:lncRNA from 1 species